CUAAACAGCUCCCACUUUAGUUAUUACCACAGUUGGGACAUAAUCUCAGCUAGAGUGUGAGGAGUGGCUAAUGGACAGAACCUGGCAUUUGGCUCAGUACUCUAGGUGUCCACAGCCUCUCUUGAAAAGCAAGUUUCUAUGAAAACCCCCUUCUCAUUUUAGUUGGGGUGUGAGGUAUUUCUUCUAUUAACUCCUGACUAGAAAUCCUUCCUCAGCAGCCCUUUUUCACUAGGAUAAGUGUUUGGUAAAAUCUUCUUUGGAGAGUGCUUGGGCUCUGUAUAAAGCCAUUCUUUUUCAAUAUAGAAGCUCAGCAAACUAGCUUGUGCCUUUUUCUAUCCCCUAAUCAUUCACUCUCCAGUUUCUAGAAUUACCUGAAGAAAAGUAUUCAUGUUUCAAACCUUCCUCUGUGGAACAAUUUGACCCUUCUGCCUCAGCCAAGAGUAGAGUUGUGAAAUGAGUCUGCACAAAGCACUUCAGGAAACCAGUUCAGGGUCAACCUCAGACUAUCUUGAAAAGAGGAGCAGAUGCACUGAGUGGUGUCAGCAGGUAGUGAGAAGGUUGGAGGCAAUUAGAUUUCAUCUCUAGAGAAAUCUUAAACUCUCGGGAAUGCUAGCUAAGGAAAACAGACUGUUGACCCAAGAGGGUCCUCGAGUCUCUCAUGCCUCAAGUAUAGAAAUGUCCAAACCAACCACAGAGAGAGAACUGGGCAGCUUCAAACCAGACAGUAACAAUGUCUCCUAAUCUAAUUUUCCAUCAAAAAACCUACAACAAAGAAAAUGCAGAAACCAUCCUUCAGAUUCUGGGGACCGGGAAGUAGCUAAUGGAAGCAUGUAUUUAUCAUAUUGAUUGGUCCAUCGAUUUCCCCCUUCUUAAGCUCCCAUUUCUUGGUUCUAUGCCAGACAUGCUUUAAAGAGCUUAAACAAAACUUACACCAAACCUUGCCAACAGCCCCCAGGGAACCUGCAAACCAAUCUUCUCUCUUGUCACAGGAUAACUACCUAGAGAUCCUACUUCAGUGGGGAGCAAGGAAUUGGAAGCCACAGACCAAUUCUUGGUAAAGGGUGUCUUUGAGCCAAUCUGGAGAAAUAUGGCAAACACCACUGUAUCUGGUGACUAACACAGUAGCUGGAAAGGAACCGGUAACGAUACACUUGUGGAGGGCAGAAGACAACCUGCAAAGUGAUUUCUCGACUUCUAUCAUGUGGGCCCUGAGGACAAGACUCGGAUCAUCCGACUUGGCAGCAAGUACCUUUGCUCAAUUAGACAUUUCACCAGCCCAAGAUUUUCAACCUUUAGCCCUGUAUUGUGAGGGUAAAAUUACAGUUUAAGUUUAAAUGACUGUGCUUAGGAGAUCUAUACAACAACAACAACAACGCCUCUGACCCGUGACCCCACCUGCCCAGGGACAGAUGACCUCCUGGAAUGCUGGGGCUGCUGUUCAUGUGAGAUAACAAGCCACUUGUUCUCACUUCCACUCACAAGUUUGGUUGCCCCCACAGUACAGGAUUUGCUUGAUCACUCAUAGGCAGGAAGUAUGCA